GAUGAACGCUGGCGGCGUGCCUAAUACAUGCAAGUCGAGCGAACGGACGAGAAGCUUGCUUCUCUGAUGUUAGCGGCGGACGGGUGAGUAACACGUGGAUAACCUACCUAUAAGACUGGGAUAACUUCGGGAAACCGGAGCUAAUACCGGAUAAUAUUUUGAACCGCAUGGUUCAAAAGUGAAAGACGGUCUUGCUGUCACUUAUAGAUGGAUCCGCGCUGCAUUAGCUAGUUGGUAAGGUAAUGGCUUACCAAGGCAACGAUGCAUAGCCGACCUGAGAGGGUGAUCGGCCACACUGGAACUGAGACACGGUCCAGACUCCUACGGGAGGCAGCAGUAGGGAAUCUUCCGCAAUGGGCGAAAGCCUGACGGAGCAACGCCGCGUGAGUGAUGAAGGUCUUCGGAUCGUAAAACUCUGUUAUUAGGGAAGAACAUAUGUGUAAGUAACUGUGCACAUCUUGACGGUACCUAAUCAGAAAGCCACGGCUAACUACGUG
rnacentral:rRNA from 1 species